GUUGAUUGAUAAUGUUUCUUUUUUUUUAACUCUUUUUAACCUCUUUUUUUAAUCCCUUUCUUCCAGCUCUUUUUGCAAGUGUUUGGGAAAAACUUGUGAAUUAUGCUGAGUUUGACAGAUUCGUGAUAAUAGUCCUGUUUUUAAUCAUGUUUAUGUGCUGCAUUUGCAAAAUCAUUUACCUUGCAGUUACAGAGGUCGGAAAGAGAAGUGGACAGAUAAUUGAAAUAUUUGACUUAGUGGCUGAUACGAUCUUUGAUAUUCUGCCUGCUUUACAAUUCAUCCUCCUCUUCUUCACUUUUGCAUCUGUCAGAGGAGGAUUCAUCAUUGUUGUCAUUUUACCAGUGUUACUGAUGAUGACAAAUGACAGAUGUUUUUUCAGAUGGUUUGAUAGACUCAGGUGUUCAUUUUCAGUCAUAAGAACAGUGAUGUUAAUCAUCAUGAUAGCGAUUAUUGCAGCGAUGAUCGGACUUUACAUAAUGACACUUGGAAAUAAAACUGAUGCUGCUGGAUGGGGCUGUGUGAUUGUGUUUCUGCAGAUACUCUGGAUGGUUAUGAAGUUUACAGGCUAUUAUGGCUUUAUUGCUCAGGAUUUUCCUCGUGUUGUUCCUGUCUAUGUGUUUGGAUCAGUUGGUGUUGUGUUACUGAACUCUGUUGCUCUGAUGACUGAACUGAUACUGAAAACAGUUAAUGGUGCUCGUACAGUGGGAGAUCUGAGGUCUGUUGUCUUUCCUUCUGAAUGCUUCUUUGCCUUAUCUGUGGUGAUUGCAGGAAUAUUUCCAUCUGAGGAAAGGCACAUGAGGACGAAGGUCAUCUACACAAGAGUUUAAUAGAAUCCAAGAAGAUAAUAAUCCAUGAAGGCAAAGGGAACACGCAGCAAAACAACACCGGACAAGGAAGAACUGAAAGGGAGCAAAUUAAAUAAAGACCAAACAAAGAUAAUUAACACAGGUGAACAGAAUGAACUAAUCAACACAUGAGGAAAAAACAGGUCAGGGGGGAAACAUGAGGGAAGAAAACAAACUAAAGUCCAUGAUCGUGACACUGGCAAAACGGAAGUUGGUUUUAUUUACAGUACAUUUUCAUCUUUAUAUUGUAUGUUCUACAUAACAUGACAUCCCAGAAGGUGCGACCUCGUGCCAUAGCAGGAUGAAACAAAGGAGCUAGGGAGGGGGUUUGGGAGGAGGACGAGGUGGAGGCAAAGGGCAGGUAGACUGACGGGCCACGGCGGAGAGGAAAGAGCUACAGUAGGAUCCAUGGGGGAGCCGCUGGGUCGACGGGCCGAGGCAGAGUCUGGGACUCAGAGGCUGGAGGCGGAGACAAGGGAUCCUCCAGCCACAAUGCCGAUGUAGGAUGGAGAUAGGCAGACCCACGGCGAACCCACCUCAGAGAUGGUGGGCUAAGGGUGAGCUGAGGGGCUGACAAGGGACAGAAGAGGCGGUGGUGAGGACUGAUGAAGAGGUGGUGGGAGAUGGAGGCUGGGAGGGACUUUUGAGCAGUCCAGGGGUUCAGGGAUGGUGUGUGCUGCCCACACAAACCAGAUGGCUACUCCCAGCACCAGGAGCGCCAGAGAUAGGGGAAUGACUUCCAUGGUCAUGAUGGGUCAAACAGACAAUUCAGGGUAGAUAGACAGUACGGGCACAACCUCAAUGGUCAUGAUGGGGCAGACAGACAGUUCAGGGCUGAUAGAGCAAAAUCAGCCUCCUUGGCCGUAACAGAACAGAUUUCAGAUGAUGUUGGGAAACUGGUUAGUUCUGAAUAAAAGUCUAUCAGAUCCCCUGAGUCCUGCCUCAGUUCACCCUCAGCGGUGGUGCGGUGGGCGGGACUUUCCUCUGUGCCCUCGCUCUCCACUGUAUUGUCCCUCAUUGCCAGCUCUCGUACCUGGUCAGACGAUCCGCGAGGCUCUGGCUCCGGGGCGAUCCUCAGCUCUGUCGCUCCUAUAGGUGAUGGCUCGUCAUAUGUGGAAAGCUCUGGCUCUCCGUCUGCGGUGGGCUCCGGCUGCUGCUCCGCGCAGUGGGGUGACGGUUCCAGGACCAUCUCCGGACAACUGCGCUCUACACGCCAUGUUGAUGCUCACGAUGUAGAACAUGCAGAGGGCAUCAUCCGGGUAUCUGGUGAGGUUGGAGAUCUCCAGGAAAAGUCUGGUGUGGUCCUCAAGGGCGAGCUCCCCCUGCUCCAGCAGGAGGAGGAGAAAUUUGGAGCGAUCCAUAAGAAACCAAUAGAAACAUUGUGAUGAGUGAUAAUGCAUGACACCUGAAGGAAAAAAGGAGGAGUGACGACAGUGCAAGACGAGAGAGUACCAGGCCUGGACGUUAUGUUGUUUUGUUUCUGUUUGUUAUUUUAAGUUUUGUGUUUAUAUUAUUAAGUAAAUUAUGUUUAAAUGUUCGCCGGUUCCUGCCUCCUUCUUCCCGAACUAUGAAUUGUGUUACAAACACUUACAAAAAACGGAAAAUUAAUGAGGAUAAUAACUCCGCUAAACUUCUUUUUUUGUGCUCCGGUAUUCUGUAAUGCAAUGUGUAGAGGAAGGCACACAAAGACGAAGGUCAUCUACACAAGAGUUUAAUAGAAUCCAAGAAGAUGAUAAUCCAUAAGGCAAAGGGAACACAUAGCAAAACAUCAAACAUCAACAUCAGACAAGGAAUAACUAAAGGGACCAACUUAAAUACACAUAUCAAACGAAGAUAAUAAAUUAACACAGGUGAACAGAUUUAACUAAUCAAUGCACAAGGGGAAAACCAGGUCAGGGGAAAACAUUAGGGAAGAAACCAAACUAAGUCCAUGAAAGUCUAUUCAUAUAUGAAUUGCGAUUCUGAUGAUUCUAAUGGAUUCACAAGUUUCAAAAUCAAUGUUCUAAAGCAGCAGUUCUUAAUAUUGUUCCUUGCAUCGCUUUGCUCUGCACACGCUCUGCAUCUCUCUCUCUCUCUCUCUCUCUCAUUCAGCUCAGCUCCAGCAAUGAACUGUUCCAACUAUACACUUAUUUUCACACAGCUAUGAGAAGCGUUAAACAUGGACGUGUGUGCAGCUACCGUACUGUAUUAAAUCUUUAAUCAGGAUAAAACCGUA
ensembl:lncRNA